rnacentral:rRNA from 1 species
GAUGAACGCUAGCUACAGGCUUAACACAUGCAAGUCGAGGGCCGGGCGCGGGGGUGAGUAACACGUAUCCAUCCCGGACGUUACUCGGGGAUAGCCUUUCGCAAGAACGAUUAAUACCCGAUAUAAAGGAUGGGGAUGCGUUCACUUAGGAUGUUGGUGAGGUAACGGCCUACCAAGCCUUCGAUGGCUAGGGGUUGUGAGAGGAAGGCCCCCCAGAAUGGAACUGAGGCACGGACCAAACUGGUAGGGGAGGCAGCGGUGAGGAAUAUUGGGGAAUGGGCGUUAGCCUGAACCAGCCAAGUAGCGUGAAGGAGGAAGCCUUAUGGGUCGUAAACUUCUUUUAUAUAAGAAUCUGUAUUAUAUGAAUAAGGAUCGGCUAACUCCGUGCCAGCAGCCGCGGUAAUUC